rnacentral:rRNA from 1 species
UACGGGGGGGGCAAGCGUUGUUCGGAAUUACUGGGCGUAAAGGGCUCGUAGGCGGCCAACUAAGUCAGACGUGAAAUCCCCAGGCUCAACCUGGGAACUGCGUCUGAUACUGGAUGGCUUGGAUUUGGGAGAGGGAUGCGGAAUUCCAGGUGUAGCGGUGAAAUGCGUAGAGAUCGGCAGGAACACCCAGGGGGAAACCAGUGGACUGGGCAGGCGCUGACACUCAUGUGCGAAAGCGUGGGGAGCGAACCGG